rnacentral:rRNA from 1 species
UGGGGAAUAUUGGACAAUGGGGGCAACCCUGAUCCAGCAAUACCGCGUGUGUGAAGAAGGCCUUAGGGUUGUAAAGCACUUUCAAUAGGGAGGAAAAAGGUAAGCUUAAUACGUUUGCCCUUGACAUUACCUAUACAAGAAGCACCGGCUAACUCCGUGCCAGCAGCCGCGGUAAUACGGAGGGUGCAAGCGUUAAUCGGAAUUACUGGGCGUAAAGCGUGCGUAGGCGGCCUGUUAAGUCAGAUGUGAAAGCCCCGGGCUCAACCUGGGAACUGCAUUUGAAACUGGCAAGCUAGAGUUGGGUANAGGGGAUGGAAUUUCAGGUGUAGCGGUGAAAUGCGUAGAUAUCUGAAGGAACACCAGUGGCGAAGGCGACUCCCUGGACUCAAACUGACGCUGAGGCACGAAAGCGUGGGUAGCAAACAGGAUUAGAUACCCAGGUAGUCCCUGAGCGGGCUGGCAAGGCGCAU